AGAGUUUGAUCAUGGCUCAGGAUGAACGCUAGCGGUGCGCCUAACACAUGCAAGUCGAGCGAUCGAACUGGACUGAUCACCCUUCGGGGUGAGAGGACCAGUGACGGAGCGGCGGACUGGUGAGUAACGCGUAGCUAACCUACCCCCUUGACAAGGAUAGCCACUCGAAAGGGUGGAUAAUACCCGAUAUUGCUCGAGAUCGAAAGAUCUUGAGCCAAAGGCGGUCUUGCCGUCGCAAGAGGAGGGGGCUGCGUCCUAUUAGCUUGUUGGUGGGGUAAUGGCCCACCAAGGCGAUGAUGGGUAGCUGGUCUGAGAAGAUGGCCAGCCACAUUGGGACUGAGAUACGGCCCAGACUCCUACGGGAGGCAGCAGUGGGGAAUCUUUCGCAAUGGACGAAAGUCUGACGGAGCGACACCGCGUGGGGGAUGAAUGCUUUCGGGUUGUAAACCCCUUUUCUGGGGGAAGAAUAAGGGCGGGAGGAAAUGCCCGUCCGAUGACGGUACCCCAGGAAUAAGCAUCGGCUAACUUCGUGCCAGCAGCCGCGGUAAGACGAAGGAUGCAAGCGUUAUCCGGAAUUACUGGGCGUAAAGGGCGCCUAGGCGGCUGAGUAAGUCACCCGUGAAAGCCCUCAGCUCAACUGAGGAAUGUCGAGUGAAACUGCCCAGCUUGGGUGCAGGAGAGGAGGGUGGAACUCACAGAGUAGCGGUGGAAUGCGUAGAUACUGUGAGGUACCCCGAUGGCGAAGGCAACCCUCUAGCCUGCUACCGACGCUGAAGCGCGAAAGCGUGGGGAGCAAAGGGGAUUAGAUACCCCCGUAGUCCACGCCGCAAACGAUGUUCACUGGGUGUCGGUCGCUAAUACAGAUCGGUGCCGGAGCUAACGCGUUAAGUGAACCGCCUGGGGAGUACGGCCGCAAGGCUA
rnacentral:rRNA from 1 species